AGCUAGUUGGUAGGGUAAUGGCCUACCAAGGCGACGACGGGUAGGGGACCUGAGAGGGUGAUCCCCCACAAUGGAACUGAAACACGGUCCAUACAUCUACGGGUGGCAGCAGUAGGGAAUAUUGCACAAUGGGCGAAAGCCUGAUGCAGCAACGCCGCGUGUGCGAUGAAGGCCUUCGGGUUGUAAAGCACUUUUCUGAGGGAAGAGGAAGGACGGUACCUCAGGAAUAAGUCUCGGCUAACUACGUGCCAGCAGCCGCGGUAACACGUAGGAGGCAAGCGUUAUCCGGAUUUACUGGGCGUAAAGCGCGUGCAGGCGGUUUGGUAAGUUGGAUGUGAAAGCUCCUGGCUUAACUGGGAGAGGUCGUUCAAUACUGCCAAACUAGAGGACGGUAGAGGAAGGUAGAAUUCCUGGUGUAGUGGUGAAAUGCGUAGAUAUCAGGAGGAAUACCAGUGGCGAAGGCGGCCUUCUGGGCCGUUCCUGACGCUAAGACGCGAAAGCAUGGGUAGCGAACGGGAUUAGAAACCCCGGUAGUCCAUGCUGUAAACGAUGCAAACUAGGUGUUGGUGGUGUAAAAGCCAUCAGUGCCGCAGCUAACGCGAUAAGUUUGCCGCCUGGGGACUACGGCCGAAGGUUAAAACUCAAAGGAGUUGACGGGUUCCCGCACAAGCAGCGGAGCGUGUGGUUUAAUUCGAUCUACGCGAAGAACCUUACCUGGGCUUGACAUAUAGGUGGUAGGAGACCGAAAGGCGACCGACCCUUCGGGGAGCCUAUACAGGUGCUGCAUGGCUGUCGUCAGCUCGUGUCGUGAGAUGUCCGGUUAAGUCCGGUAACGAGCGCAACCCCUGCCGUAUGUUAUACGUGUCAUACGGGACUGCCGAUAUAAAAUCGGGGGAAGGAGGGGAUGACGUCAAGUCAGCAUGGCCUUUAUGUCCAGGGCUACACACACGCUACAAUGGCCAGUACAAUAGGUUGCAAAGCCGCGAGGCGGAGCCAAUCCUCAAAGCUGGUCUCAGUUCGGAUUGCAGGCUGCAACUCGCCUGCAUGAAGCCGGAGUUGCUAGUAAACGCGCGUCAGCAACAGUGCGUUGAAUACGUUCCCGGGAAUUGUACACACCGCCCGUCACGUCAUGGAAGCUGGAAACACUUAAAGUCAGUAUCCUAACCCUAACGGGAGGGAGCUGCCAAAGGUGGGUCUGGUAACUGGGACGAAGUCGUAACAAGGUAGGUGUAGCGGAGCUGCGCCUGG
rnacentral:rRNA from 1 species